UACGGAGGGGGCUAGCGUUGUUCGGAAUUACUGGGCGUAGAGCGCACGUAGGCGGCUUUGCAAGUUAGAGGUGAAAGCCCGGGGCUCAACUCCGGAAUUGCCUUUAAAACUGCAUCGCUAGAAUUGUGGAGAGGUAAGUGGAAUUCCGAGUGUAGAGGUGAAAUUCGUAGAUAUUCGGAAGAACACCAGUGGCGAAGGCGACUUACUGGACACAUAUUGACGCUGAGGUGCGAAAGCGUGGGGAGCAAACAGG
rnacentral:rRNA from 1 species